rnacentral:tRNA from 1 species
UGGCACAGUGGUUAAGUGUUCGGCUGCUAACCGAAAGGUCGGUAGUUCGAAUCCACC